rnacentral:rRNA from 1 species
GGAUGAGCUCGCGUCUGAUUAGCUAGUUGGAGUGGUAACGGCACACCAAGGCGACGAUCAGUAGCUGGUCUGAGAGGAUGAUCAGCCACACUGGGACUGAGACACGGCCCAGACUCCUACGGGAGGCAGCAGUGGGGAAUUUUCCGCAAUGGGCGAAAGCCUGACGGAGCAAGACCGCGUGAGGGAGGAAUGCCUAUUGGUUGUAAACCUCUUUUGAUAGGGAAGAACGCAAUGACGGUACCUAUCGAAUCAGCAUCGGCUAACUCCGUGCCAGCAGCCGCGGUAAUACGGAGGAUGCAAGCGUUAUCCGGAUUUAUUGGGCGUAAAGCGUCCGUAGGUGGCAAUCCAAGUCAGUUGUUAAAGCGUAGAGCUUAACUCUAUAACGGCAAUUGAAACUGGAUAGCUAGAGUGCGAUAGGGGCAAGGGGAAUUCCCAGUGUAGCGGUGAAAUGCGUAGAUAUUGGGAAGAACAUCGGUGGCGAAGGCGCCUUGCUGGGUCUGCACUGACACUGAGGGACGAAAGCUAGGGGAGCGAAAGGGAUUAGAUACCCCUGUAGUCCUAGCCGUAAACGAUGGAUACUAGGCGUUGUCCGUAUCGAUCCGGGCAGUGCCGUAGCUAACGCGUUAAGUAUCCCGCCUGGGGAGUACGCUCGCAAGAGUGAAACUCAAAGGAAUUGACGG